rnacentral:rRNA from 1 species
AGAGUUUGAUCAUGGCUCAGAGCGAACGCUGGCGGCAUGCCUAACACAUGCAAGUCGCGCGCCCCGCAAGGGGAGCGGCGGACGGGUGAGGAACGCGUAGGAACGUGUCCUGAGGUGGGGGACAACCCCGGGAAACUGGGGCUAAUACCGCAUGGGGCCUUCGGGCCAAAGCCGCGAGGCGCCUCGGGAGCGGCCUGCGUCCGAUUAGCCAGCUGGCGGGGUAACGGCCCACCAGGGCUUCGAUCGGUAGCUGGUCUGAGAGGACGACCAGCCACACUGGGACUGAGACACGGCCCAGACUCCUACGGGAGGCAGCAGUGGGGAAUAUUGGGCAAUGGGCGCAAGCCUGACCCAGCAAUGCCGCGUGGGUGAAGAAGGCCCUCGGGUCGUAAAGCCCUUUCGGCGGGGACGAUGAUGACGGUACCCGCAGAAGAAGCCCCGGCCAACUUCGUGCCAGCAGCCGCGGUAAUACGAAGGGGGCUAGCGUUGCUCGGAAUCAUUGGGCGUAAAGGGCGCGUAGGCGGCCCGCGCAGUCAGGCGUGAAAUCCCCGGGCUCGACCCGGGGACUGCGCUUGAGACGUGCGGGCUUGAGGAUGGAAGAGGGUCGCGGAAUUCCCAGUGUAGAGGUGAAAUUCGUAGAUAUUGGGAAGAACACCGGUGGCGAAGGCGGCGACCUGGUCCAUCACUGACGCUGAGGCGCGACAGCGUGGGGAGCAAACAGGAUUAGAUACCCCUGUAGUCC